rnacentral:rRNA from 1 species
AACGAACGCUGGCGGCAUGCCUAACACAUGCAAGUCGAACGAGACCUUCGGGUCUAGUGGCGCACGGGUGCGUAACGCGUGGGAACCUGCCCUUAGGUUCGGAAUAACUCCCCGAAAGGUGUGCUAAUACCGGAUCAUGUCUUCGGACCAAAGAUUUAUCGCCUUUGGAUGGGCCCGCGUUGGAUUAGCUAGUUGGUAGGGUAAAAGCCUACCAAGGCGACGAUCCAUAGCUGGUCUGAGAGGAUGAUCAGCCACACUGGGACUGAGACACGGCCCAGACUCCUACGGGAGGCAGCAGUGGGGAAUAUUGGACAAUGGGCGAAAGCCUGAUCCAGCAAUGCCGCGUGAGUGAUGAAGGCCUUAGGGUUGUAAAGCUCUUUUACCCGGGAUGAUAAUGACAGUACCGGGAGAAUAAGCUCCGGCUAACUCCGUG